rnacentral:rRNA from 1 species
AGUUUGAUCCUGGCUCAGGAUGAACGCUGGCGGCGCGCCUAACACAUGCAAGUCGAACGGCACCCCUCUCCGGAGGGAAGCGAGUGGCGAACGGCUGAGUAACACGUGGAGAACCUGCCCCCUCCCCCGGGAUAGCCGCCCGAAAGGACGGGUAAUACCGGAUACCCCCGGGCGCCGCAUGGCGCCCGGGCUAAAGCCCCGACGGGAGGGGAUGGCUCCGCGGCCCAUCAGGUAGACGGCGGGGUGACGGCCCACCGUGCCGACAACGGGUAGCCGGGUUGAGAGACCGACCGGCCAGAUUGGGACUGAGACACGGCCCAGACUCCUACGGGAGGCAGCAGUGGGGAAUCUUGCGCAAUGGGGGGAACCCUGACGCAGCGACGCCGCGUGCGGGACGGAGGCCUUCGGGUCGUAAACCGCUUUCAGCAGGGAAGAGUCAAGACUGUACCUGCAGAAGAAGCCCCGGCUAACUACGUGCCAGCAGCCGCGGUAAUACGUAGGGGGCGAGCGUUAUCCGGAUUCAUUGGGCGUAAAGCGCGCGUAGGCGGCCCGGCAGGCCGGGGGUCGAAGCGGGGGGCUCAACCCCCCGAAGCCCCCGGAACCUCCGCGGCUUGGGUCCGGUAGGGGAGGGUGGAACACCCGGUGUAGCGGUGGAAUGCGCAGAUAUCGGGUGGAACACCGGUGGCGAAGGCGGCCCUCUGGGCCGAGACCGACGCUGAGGCGCGAAAGCUGGGGGAGCGAACAGGAUUAGAUACCCUGGUAGUCCCAGCCGUAAACGAUGGACGCUAGGUGUGGGGGGACGAUCCCCCCGUGCCGCAGCCAACGCAUUAAGCGUCCCGCCUGGGGAGUACGGCCGCAAGGCUAAAACUCAAAGGAAUUGACGGAAGGG